rnacentral:pre_miRNA from 9 species
UCUCGAUAGCGUAAAAGUUAACUCAAGUUUGUAUGAAGUUUGCCUACGUUUUCCGCUAGGGGCGCUGUUCUAACUGCAUACAAAUUUGAGUUAACUUUUACGCUAUCGA